rnacentral:misc_RNA from 1 species
ACCUGACUGCGUGGUUCAAUCGUGAACGAAUCUCCGAAGCUAAUAGAUCGGUAUCUUCUUUGGCCGACGAAAUUUUCAAUAGUGAAGAGUGCAAAACGCAAUGUUGGAACAGUCCAAAGUCAUGAUUACACAGGAGAACCAUAAUUUUAGCAAUCAAUUCACCACAGCGAUUUGUGGCCUGCGUUACGUUAUGAUUUAUUUGGGAGUUUGGCCAGGACAAAAAUAUCAAAACUUGUAUCGUUUCAUUUGGUUUUUUCACUUGGCAAGUUUGAUAUUUCUAGCUUCCGGUUCAGUAGGUGGCAUCGUCUUACUAAGACACGACAUAAAUAAACUCAUCAACAACUUAAGUAUGUCAAGUCCAAUGAUACUCAUUUCCUGUAAGUGGCUUACAUUUUCGUUGCGUCAGAAACUGUGCAAAAAGCUUAUGCAUUCCAUGGACGAAGAUUGGGUCAACUUGAGCAAAGAUACUUUUAUUUAUAAAAGUGUGCCGGAUUCUAAACGUGUAAUCACCAAUCAUUAUCAAGCUUCGACUGUUUUCGUCUACACCUUUUUGAUCGUAGCUACUAUUGCAACCAUUAAUUUUGCGACUGAUUCUUUUCUCUCUCUAAGCAAUCGCGAUAAUAAUACUGAUCAGGAUAAUCUCUUGCCAAUGCCAUACAGCUGGUAUCCUGUAGAUUACAACAGAUCGGGUUAUAUUGUUCAGUUCUUGGUGGUCGCUCAAAUAAUCAGUAUGGUGACAACAUUUCUGGCAACAACUGCAGUAGACGGCUUCUUCGUUGCUGCGAUUCUACACGUGAGCAGUCAACUCAAGAUUCUAACAUAUUUCGUCGAAGGAAUCGCUUAUAGACCGUCACAUCCCGAACAUUACAGAAUAGAGAUUAGAGAAAUGGUGAAACGCCAUCAGGUGCUGUUGAACUGCCACGCUGCAAGAAUUUUACAGGCUCAUUGCUCUGCAGCAUGUAAUGGCGUGUGUGCUUGCUCUUUGCUUCCUCGAGUGUUCAUUUCUCAUGGAACUACAAGAAAAUGGAGCGAGCAAAACAAUUUUGUUAAAGUUUGGACUUUUCGCUAUCGGAUCGUUGGAGACUGCCUUUAUCUACUGUUUUGCCGGGCUAUGCUCUCGGAUUGGCGAUCUACAGUUCCAAAUGGUACAAUUUCGAAAGAUCGAUAAAUCUUUCGUUGUCAAUAGUAAUGAUCAGAGCACAGAAGCCGAUAGAGAUUAGCGCAGCCAACAUUUUUCCUCUCACGUUAGAAAAUUUCACAGUCAUAGUCAAGGUAGCUGCAUCAUAUCUCUCUACUCUACGAGCUUACAGUAUGGCGGAAGCUUAAAAAAAUUUCAUUACAGCCAUUCAACGAGUGCAAGACAAAACAAAACUAACGGGAACACCGAUUGACCAAGCUACAGAAUAAAUUAAAUAGAAUAUGAAGUGCAAAAUAAACUCGAGCAUCUCUUGAGA